AGUGAACGCUGGCGGUAGGCCUAACACAUGCAAGUCGAACGGCAGCACAGUAAGAGCUUGCUCUUACGGGUGGCGAGUGGCGGACGGGUGAGGAAUACAUCGGAAUCUACUUUUUCGUGGGGGAUAACGUAGGGAAACUUACGCUAAUACCGCAUACGACCUACGGGUGAAAGCAGGGGAUCUUCGGACCUUGCGCGAUUGAAUGAGCCGAUGUCGGAUUAGCUAGUUGGCGGGGUAAAGGCCCACCAAGGCGACGAUCCGUAGCUGGUCUGAGAGGAUGAUCAGCCACACUGGAACUGAGACACGGUCCAGACUCCUACGGGAGGCAGCAGUGGGGAAUAUUGGACAAUGGGCACAAGCCUGAUCCAGCUAUACCGCGUGGGUGAAGAAGGCCUUCGGGUUGUAAAGCCCUUUUGUUGGGAAAGAAAAGCAGCAGGUUAAUACCCCGCUGUUCUGACGGUACCCAAAGAAUAAGCACCGGCUAACUUCGUG
rnacentral:rRNA from 1 species